GGCCAAGCUGGGAGCUACAGAAAUAAAGUUAGCUAGUUAAAAUUAAAAUUAACCCUUAACAGAUUCUCAUAAUUUUGGAAGCAAUGAUUAAGUUUGUCAAUUAGUCAUUUUAAAAUUGCAAGAAAAAUUCCUGAAACACUAGGAAUUUAUCCCAUUCUGUAAGAAAAGAAAAGAAAAAAACAAACUAGGUGAAGAGCAACUUUUUGUUAGCCCUUCCUUGAUUCCUAUCUUGUCCAGAGUCCCCUUUGACUCCUUUGGGAAAGCACCCCAGAAUAUUACCCUCUCCACACCACUCCCCAGAGUGGUCCUGAAUGUAUCUCAAUUGUGGGCAUUGUUAACAAGAUCAAUAUAGCCCAAGCCCCUCUUUUCCUAAAUCCUCUAUCUCAGAUCAGAUUAAAACUCAAAUUCUGCCUCACCUGUAGAAAUAGGGGAAGCAGCCUAUGGAGACCCCACAAAACCUUGCACAAACACCUCCCUAACCCAGUUUUGGGGGAGUGGGUGUAAGGCCCAAUGGUCAGCAUUCCCUGAGCCCUGGCACCUGAAACUACCAUCAAAAGGAUAUCCUGGCAUCCAUCACUCCAGCUUUCAGCAGGUUCUGUCCAGUAACUGCUUGGGAAGACCCAGCAUGGUGAUGAGAAAACCAGUCAGCCUCUGCAUUUAUUCUGAAUUUGAUUCCUGGUCAUUAAAUCAGAAGCCCACCCUUUGAGAAAGAAAUGCCAUAAAUUGCUCAGAGAAUGCCCUCCUGAAAUGUCUAGAUGGACAACUUAUCUGGGCAAAAAAGCUGGGAGUACACAACGUUAGCCUCUGCUUAAGGAUCCAAGCUGUGAACUUUCAACUAUUUGUUCACCUUGAAUACCAUUGGCUAACUGAUCCUGCACCUCUCUGAAUGCUGCUGCCACUAUCUUCAAGUCACAUGUCUCCAAUCCUUAAUUUGGACCCCUUCUAAAUAUGGACAGCUCUAAGCCCCUUAUCAUCAUGAAGCAGCUUCAGGAGAUGAAAUCUUCUUACCCUUUGUCCCAAAUGAAUUUGGGGUAUAAACUUCUUGAGAGGGAAAAUGAUGUAAUACAGCAAUGAUUUCUGUGGUCCCCUAAUUUUAGGGGGCUUCUGUUCUAACAAUAAGUCAGUCAUCCUAAAUCUUUUGGUUUU